rnacentral:rRNA from 1 species
UACGGGGGGGGCAAGCGUUGUUCGGAAUUACUGGGCGUAAAGGGCUCGUAGGCGGCCAACUAAGUCAGACGUGAAAUCCCUUGGCUUAACCGGGGAACUGCGUCUGAUACUGGAUGGCUUGAGUUUGGGAGAGGGAUGCGGAAUUCCAGGUGUAGCGGUGAAAUGCGUAGAUAUCUGGAGGAACACCGGUGGCGAAGGCGGCAUCUGGACCAACACUGACGCUGAUGAGCGAAAGCCAGGGGAGCAAACGGG